UCAAUAUUGGAAGCAGAUGUCAAUAUCAAUCCCAUCAACAUAAGGGCAAAGCAACUAUGCAGAAACUGCUGUGUGAGAAUGAUGUGAAGGAACCCAUGAGAAGCCAGUAGAAGAGGAAUGAUGGUGGCAUCUUACAAGAACUGAGCUGACAGACUUGGAAGAGGAAUGAAUGGCGUGAAUUGAUCUUUCGUCAGACAUGUACAGUUUAGCCUACGUUUCCACAGGGGUGCUGAAAAGGAUGCAAACCUUGGGGCUUCCUUCUUUCUAAGCUCUGUAUGACAUUUUUAGUCACCUCUACCAACAUGCAGGCUUCUUAACAAAGUCACUAACUAGCAGAUUUUUUUUCCAUGAAUAAAUAGUUCUCUUUGUCUCA